rnacentral:rRNA from 1 species
UACGUAGGCAGCAAGCGUUGUUCGGAAUUACUGGGCGUAAAGAGUGUGUAGGCGGUGCUCUAAGUCUGUUGUGAAAUCUCCCGGCUUAACCGGGAGGGUGCGGCGGAAACUGGAGUGCUUGAGGGUGGGAGAGGUAAGCGGAAUUCCUGGUGUAGCGGUGAAAUGCGCAGAUAUCAGGAGGAACACCGGUGGCGAAGGCGGGUCUCUGGGCCAUAACUGACGCUGAGGAGCGAAAGCGUGGGGAGCGAACAGG